rnacentral:rRNA from 1 species
AUGGCUGGAUUCGCUAAUGCACUGAGGCCGGAUAAGUUUACCGGUGUGCACUUUAAGAGGUGGCAGGUGAAGACCACGCUCUGGCUUACUGCUCUGAAAGUUUUCCACGCUAGUGUUGGUGCUCCAGAGGGAAUGACCGACGAAGAUCAGAGAAAAUUCCAGGAAGCCAAUACUAUGUUUGUGGGAUGCAUUCUGAGUGUUCUUGCUGACCGUCUGUGUGAUGUGUACAUGCACAUAAACGACGGAAAAAUUCUGUGGGAUGCAUUGAAUGCAAAAUUCGGUGCAACAGAUGCAGGCAGUGAACUGUACAUCAUGGAGAGUUUUCAUGACUACAAGAUGGUGAAUAACCGUUCUGUGGUUGAACAAGCUCAUGAGUUACAAUGCAUUGUAAAGGAACUUGAACUCCUUAAAUGUGUUCUACCCGACAAAUUCGUGGCUGGGUGCAUGAUUGCAAAGUUGCCUCCUUCAUGGAGGAAUUUCGCCACAACUCUGAAGCAUAAGAGACAGGAGAUAUCGGUUGAAAAUCUGAUUGCAUCUCUUGAUGUUGAAGAAAAAGCUCGGGCUAAAGAUACCACUGAAAAAGGAGGUGAGGUUCAGCCUACUGCUAACAUGGUGCAGAGGUACCCAUAG